GAAGCAGCCAGUGAAAGAACCUUGCCUCCUCCUCCUGUCCCACCUCCUGUCAACAAGGUGAUACACGGACUGCCAGACAGAGCGGCAAGUCAAGGUGAAGAAGGCCUGAGGCCUCAGGCACCAGUGAAACCACAGAGGAACAGAAAAGCCAUGUCUUGUGAUGCAGGCACUGAAAGAGAAAGUCCUAAUAAUGUUGAGAAGCACCCAAAUCGCAAACCCCCCAUGAAAAAACCUAGACUACCACAAAACAGAAAUAAGUCACUGGACGUGUCUGACAGCUUCAACUCAUCAUCUGGACAUGGCGAGCUGUUGUGAUGGCAGACAAUCCCAGAUGUUCAUUCAGAUUCUACAUGACAGCGAUGGAGGAUUUUUAUCCAGUAGGGAGAACUACAGAGUGGAAAUCCAGGAGGAAAACUGCAAAAUGACAGACUUCAAGAAACAUCCGUUCUCUUUUCUUCUGUUAAAACACUCA